rnacentral:rRNA from 1 species
UUUCCGGUUGAUCCCGCCGGACCUGACUGCUAUCGGAUUGAUACUAAGCCAUGCGAGUCUUUGUAGUAAUACAAGGCAUACGGCUCAGUAACGCGUAGUCAACCUACCCUAUGGACAAGAAUAAUCUCGGGAAACUGAGCAUAAUUCUUGAUAGAUCAUAAUGCCUGGAAUGGUAUAUGGUUAAAAUGAUUCGUCGCCAUAGGAUGGGACUGCGGCCUAUCAGCUUGUUGGUGAGGUAAUGGCCCACCAAGGCGAUUACAGGUACGGGCUCUGAGAGGAGAAGCCCGGAGAUGGGUACUGAGACAAGGACCCAGGCCCUAUGGGGCGCAGCAGGCGAGAAAACUUUGCAAUGUGCGAAAGCACGACAAGGUUAGUCCGAGUGAUUUCUGCUAAAGAGAUCUUUUGCUAGUUAUAAAACCACUAGUGAAUAAGGGGUGGGCAAGUUCUGGUGUCAGCCGCCGCGGUAAAACCAGCACCUCAAGUGGUCAGGAUGAUUAUUGGGCCUAAAGCAUCCGUAGCCGGCUCUGUAAGUUUUCGGUUAAAUCUAUGCGCUCAACGUAUGGGCUGCCGAAAAUACUGCAGAGAUAGGGAGUGGGAGAGGUAGACGGUACUCGGUAGGAAGGGGUAAAAUCCUUUGAUCUAUCGAUGACCACCUGUGGCGAAGGCGGUCUACCAGAACACGUUCGACGGUGAGGGAUGAAAGCUGGGGGAGCAAACCGGAUUAGAUACCCGGGUAGUCCCAGCUGUAAACGAUGCAGACUCGAUGAUGCAUUGGCUUAUAGCCAGUGCAGUGUCGCAGGGAAGCCGUUAAGUCUGCCGCCUGGGAAGUACGUACGCAAGUAUGAAACUUAAAGGAAUUGGCGGGGGAGCACCACAAGGGGUGAAGCCUGCGGUUCAAUUGGAGUCAACGCCGGGA